CUCACUAUGUUGCCCAGGCUGGUCUUGAACUUCUGGGCUCAAGCGGUCCACUUGCCUCGGCCUCCCAGAGUGCUAGGAUUACAGGCAGGAGGCACUGCACCUGGCCAGAAAAAACUAUUCUUGACUUCACAUUUUCCACCAGCUUCACCCCUGCCCCUUUGCUUCUCUUUGCAGCAAAACUUCAAAAAGCAUAGUCCACGCUCUCCCCCAGGCAUUCUUGGGUCUCUCUACCCAGGAUUUUGCUCCCCCAUCGCCACAUCUCCUUUUGCCAAGGGCACCAGAGGCCUCCGUGUUGUUGGAUCCAGCGGUCGGCUCUCAGCCUCCUCUUAACUGCUCAGUGGCACUGGUGCCGCCAAGCAACCCUUCCUCCAAGAGAGCCACAGGCUCUGGGAUACUUCACUCUGGGGUUCCUCCUACCUCACAGACUCUCCUGGCUGGUCCUCCUCUUCUCCCCAACAUCUUAUGGCCAGGUCUCCAGGCUCUUUUCUGUCUACAGGCACUCUCCAUGAGUCCUUAUUCAGUCUCCUGGCCUCAAAUGCCAGCUGUGCUGAGACCCCCUUAUUUGUAGCUCCAGCCUAGCCUGCUCUCCCCUGAACCCCAGACUCAUGUUUCCAGCUACCUCUGCCGAUAUCUAAUAGACACCUCAAACUCAACCUGCCCCGGCUGCACUCCCGAUCGGCCCCCACCUCCUACAGUCAUCCUGCUUCAGAGACUAUAGCUCCGUUUUCAAGGGCUCAGGCCACACCCUUGGAACCACCCUUGCAUCCUCUCUUUCCCUCAAACCACCGCAUCUCUCACCUGGAUUAUCGUAACAGCUUCCUGUGUCCCAGCUGCAGUCCCCCGCCCAUUACAUUUUGUUCCUAACACAGCAGCCAGAGUGAGCCUUUUGAAAGGGAAGAUUAUGGGGCUCUUUGGCUCACAUAGUGCAGUGUCUCCCCAUCUGACCACUAAGGCCUGGCUGUGACCAUAUCACCCCUGCGACCUCAACUCCCCUCACCUCCACUCCAGACACACCUGCUGUUCUAUGGUGCUGCCUGCAGUUCAACACCAAAGAAUAUUCUUCGCUCCAGGAAGAAAAACGGUUUUCUCCACCUCCAAUCACAAUGUGUUCUUUUGGCCUAUCUUUUGCUCCCCACCCACCCUUUUUUUUGAGACGGAGUCUUGCUCUGUCGCCCAGGCUGGAAUGCAGUGGCACGAUCUUGGCUCACUGCAACCUCCACCUCCACCUCCCGGGUUCAAGCGAUUCCCCUGCCUCAGCCUCCUGAGUAGCUGGGACUAUAAAUGCGUGCCACCACGCCCAGCUCAUUUUUUGUAUUUUAGUAGAGAUGGGGUUUCACCAUGUUAGCCAGGAUAGUUUCGAUCUCUUGACCUCGUGAUCCACCCGCCUUGGCCUCCCAAAGUGCUGGGAUUACAGCUGUGAGCCACCGCGCCCGGCCUUAUUUUCCCCUUUUAGGAAACACUGGGAACUAUUUUCUUCUCAGAGAAAAACAGGACUUGCCCAAUAGUAACAUGGAAACUUAACAGGGUCUUAACCUGUGAAGACUCUAGGAGCAGAACCCGGAGUAAGGGGGAGCAGGGGCCGGAGUAAGGGGAGCAGGGCCCCGUCUAAGAUGGGGCAGGGCCUGGGCUAAGGGAGAGCAGGGCCGGGCUAAGGGGAGGCAGGGCCCAGUCUGAGGUGGGGGCAGGGCCUGGUCUAAGGGGAGCAGAGCCUGGGCUAAAGGGCAGCUGAGCCCAGUCUGAAGGAGAGCCGAGCUAUCUGAAUAGGGGCUAGCACCUGUUCUAAAGGAAGUGGCUGCUCCCCUGCUUUCGCUGUAAGAGGGAACACAGGCCUUUUAAGAAAAUGGGAAUCAAGUUUUUUGUUUAAUUUCCCAAAGGUUAUAUGUUGACAAUUAACUUCAAAGUAUUAGCUGCUUUUUGUAGGCCAAAUAAACACGUCUGUGGGCCAGAUCUGGCCCAGGACUAGAGUUGCCAGUGGCAACUUCUGGCCCAGGCUGAAUGGUGGGCAGGAAGGAAAUGGAGCCCCCAGGAGUGGGAGUGGGAGCUGAUGCCUGGGUACGGGAGCUCUGUGGGUGGGAGUGAGACAAAAAACAGGGUCUUGAGCUCUGGGGAGCAAGCAGUGUCCUCCAGUGAAGGAAAUCCUGGACUCGCAGGCAGAAGUUUUGCCUCUUACUCGCCAUGUGCUCUGAAUAAAGUUACCUGCCCUCC
ensembl:lncRNA novel transcript, antisense to CSPG4